GUAGAAUACAAAAUUAACCAUAAAACUACCGGUCGGACAAACAGGAAAAAUAAAAAUUGUGUGAUCGGAUUAAGAGGAUUUUUCAAGCUCUCGUGGCUCGAUCGAUCGAACUAGACGAACUUUUAAAAUCCCAUUACUCCGAUAGUAGGGCUGACAGGAUUUGAGAAGUUUUUAUAGUCCGAUCAAUCGAGCCAACAGGAAAAAAAAAUAUUCGUAUUCCGAUUGAUCGGACUAGUCAAUCGGACCAUGCGACCUAAGGGCAUUUUCCCUGUCUUCAAAAAUGAUAUUGAGGUUUCUAAUAUAAUUUUUUUCUAAACUGAAUAGUUUGCGCGAGAGACACUUCCAAAGUGGUAAAAUGUGUCCCCCCCGUAACUACUAAAAUAAAAGAAUGAUAAAACUAAAAAAAAAAUAUAUGAUGUACAUUACCAUGCAAACUUCCACCGAAAAUUGGUUUGAACGAGAUCUAGUAAGUAGUUUUUUUUAAUACGUCAUAAAU